GAUGAACGCUGGCGGCGUGCCUAAUACAUGCAAGUCGAACGAACGCACCGUAAGAGCUCGUUUCUGCUGGUAGCGAGGGGCGGGUGAGUAAGGCGUAGAUAGACGUCCUAUAUGUCCGGGGUAAUGUCGGAGAACAGGUGAUAAUACUGGCUAAUACGUCCUACCGGUUAAUGCAGCAGAGCAUGAGAGUUUAGGGGGCUCUAAGAGAUGGAUCCGGGGUGGAUUCGCGGGGUGGUAAGGUAACGGCGCACCAAGGCAACGAUGCAUAGCCGACCUGAGAGGGUGAUCCGCCACACUGGAACUGAGACACGGUCCAGACUCCUACGGGAGGCAGCAGUAGGGAAUCUUGCGCAAUGGGCGGAAGCCUGACCCAGCCACGCCGCGUGGGUGAAGAAGGUCUUCGGGUUGUAAAACCCUUUUGUUGGGAAAGAAAAUAUGCGGGUAGAAACGCACCUGUCCUGACGGUACCCUAACAAGAAGCCCCGGCUAACUUCGUG
rnacentral:rRNA from 1 species